UACAACGCACUACCUGGUCAUAGUAGUCGUUGCUGUCAACAGCACACUGCUCACCAUCAACGCAGGGGACUACAUUUUCUACACAGACUGGGCGUGGACGUCCUUCGGUGUGUUCUCGGUGUUAACGGCUCGCAUACUAGCUGCGAUCCAAAUCUACUACAUUUUAUUAGCAGUGUUUCUAGGCACUGACCUUUAGUACACAGACAUCAUGUCCAUCAACAAAUCAUGUUCAAAUAUGCAUGGCUUAUACUCUGCUUAACUCUCUCACACUCUCGGGAGACAGGACGCAACAAGCGCUCUGCCAUUCUGCGUUGCGGUUCGCUGUUUGGCCUGUCCUUCCCGCUGUUCAGCAUUGUCAACCUGUUGCGUGUAAGGGACCCGCUCGAGGUGGCCUUCAAGUAUCCGAGACCGACUCUGCCCGCGUACAUGACGCCUAUAGUGCCUCAGGUAGGGAAGUUCUACAACUCGCCUGUCGCCCUGGGUUCAGGUGCCGGUGCAGUGCUAACGGUACCCAUCGCUGCGUUGGGUGCAAAACUAAACACGUGG
rnacentral:rRNA from 1 species